UUUAUGGAGAGUUUGAUCCUGGCUCAGGAUGAACGCUGGCGGCGUGCCUAAUACAUGCAAGUCGAGCGAACGGACGAGAAGCUUGCUUCUCUGAUGUUAGCGGCGGACGGGUGAGUAACACGUGGAUAACCUACCUAUAAGACUGGGAUAACUUCGGGAAACCGGAGCUAAUACCGGAUAAUAUUUUGAACCGCAUGGUUCAAAAGUGAAAGACGGUCUUGCUGUCACUUAUAGAUGGGUCCGCGCUGCAUUAGCUAGUUGGUAAGGUAACGGCUUACCAAGGCAACGAUG
rnacentral:rRNA from 1 species